UGGGGCGUAGCCAAGCGGUAAGGCAGCGGGCUUUGGACCCGCCAUUUCGUUGGUUCGAAUCCAGCCGCCCCAG
rnacentral:tRNA from 1 species